rnacentral:rRNA from 1 species
AGAGUUUGAUCCUGGCUCAGGACGAACGCUGGCGGCAUGCCUAACACAUGCAAGUCGAACGGGAUCCACGCCAUGAAGUUUUCGGAUGGAUUGGUGUGGUGAGAGUGGCGGAACGGGCGAGUAACGCGUGAGCAACCUACCUCGUACUGGGGGAUAACGUCGGGAAACCGGCGCAAUAUACCGCAUAAGACUACGAUGCCGCAUGGCAAUGUAGUCAAAGCUCCGGCGGUACGAGACGGGCUCGCGUCCGAUUAGCUAGUUGGUAGGGUAAUGGCCUACCAAGGCGACGAUCGGUAGCCGGACUGAGAGGUCGGCCGGCCGCAUUGGGACUGAGACACGGCCCAGACUCCUACGGGAGGCAGCAGUGGGGAAUAUUGCGCAAUGGGGGAAACCCUGACGCAGCGACGCCGCGUGAAG